rnacentral:misc_RNA from 1 species
GAUGAAGAACGUAGCGAAAUGCGAUAAGUAAUGUGAAUUGCAGAAUUCAGUGAAUCAUCGAAUCUUUGAACGCACAUUGCGCCCGCCAGUAUUCUGGCGGGCAUGCCUGUCCGAGCGUCAUUUCAACCCUCGAACCCCUCCGGGGGGUCGGCGUUGGGGACCUCGGGAGCCCCUAAGACGGGAUCCCGGCCCCGAAAUACAGUGGCGGUCUCGCCGCAGCCUCUCCUGCGCAGUAGUUUGCACAACUCGCACCGGGAGCGCGACGCGUCCACGUCCGUAAAACACCCAACUUCUGAAAUGUUGACCUCGGAUCAGGUAGGAAUACCAGCUGAACUUAAGCAUAUCAAUAAGCGGAGGA